GUGAAAGAGGGAAAAUCUGUACUUUCUUGGGCUUUGAAGAGCUUUGCUGGCAGGAGAAUUUGUGUUCUUCAUGUUCAUCAACCUAAUCAUUUGUUUUCAUCUAAGGAUGGGAAGCUAUCAGGUGCAAAGCUGAAACAGCACAUGGUGAAGGCAUGCCAAGAACUUGAUCGCCUAAGACUGCACAAACUUCUAAACCAGUAUCUUCUCUUUAUAUCCCAAGCUGGGAUACAAGGGGGUAAGGUGUGGCUUGAAAUAAAUAAUGUGGAGAAAGGGAUAAUAC
rnacentral:misc_RNA from 1 species